GCUUCCUACGGGAGGCAGCAGUGGGGAAUAUUGCACAAUGGGCGGAAGCCUGAUGCAGCGACGCCGCGUGAGGGAUGACGGCCUUCGGGUUGUAAACCUCUUUCAGCAGGGACGAAGCGUGAGUGACGGUACCUGCAGAAGAAGCACCGGCCAACUACGUGCCAGCAGCCGCGGUAAGACGUAGGGUGCGAGCGUUGUCCGGAUUUAUUGGGCGUAAAGAGCUCGUAGGCGGCUUGUCGCGUCGACUGUGAAAACCCGCAGCUCAACUGCGGGCCUGCAGUCGAUACGGGCAGGCUAGAGUUCGGUAGGGGAGACUGGAAUUCCUGGUGUAGCGGUGAAAUGCGCAGAUAUCAGGAGGAACACCGGUGGCGAAGGCGGGUCUCUGGGCCGAUACUGACGCUGAGGAGCGAAAGCGUGGGGAGCAAACAGGAUUAGAUACCCUGGUAGUCCACGCUGUAAACGUUGGGCGCUAGGUGUGGGGGGCCUCUCCGGUUCCCUGUGCCGCAGCUAACGCAUUAAGCGCCCCGCCUGGGGAGUACGGCCGCAAGGCUAAAACUC
rnacentral:rRNA from 1 species